AGAAGCUGGGUUUGUCGUAAAACCAUGUGAACUCACCGAGACCUUUCGAGAAAUCAAGUCUCAUCCAGGGGCUAAAGUUGACUUGAGACUAUGGACUGCGGAACAAAUGUGAGGUGUGGAGUGUCAAAUUUACCCUGGCCAAGAUCUGUAAGGGGGCUGGGGAGCUGUUGACGCUGGACAAGAAGGACCCUCAGCGUCUGUUUGAAGGCAAAGGUGACCUGUUCACAUUGGGGUGCUGGAUGAGGGCAAGAUGAAGCUGGAUUACAUCCUGUGCCUGAAGACUGAGGAUUUCUUGGAGAGAAGGCUGCAGACCCAGGUCUUCAAGCUGGGCCUGGGUAAAUCUAUUUUCCAUGCCCGUGUGCUUAUCUGUCAACGUCACAUCAGGGUCCGCAAGCACAUGGUGAACAUGCCAUCUUUAAUUGUUCCUCUGGACUCCCAGAAGCACAUUGAUUUCUCUCUCUGUUCUCCUUAUGGUGGCAGCUGUCCAGGCCGGCCGAGUGAAGAGGAAGAAUACCAAGAAAGGCUAGGGUGGUGAUGUGGAAGAGGAUUAA
rnacentral:lncRNA from 1 species